CCCCUUACUAUUAUCAUCGAACUAUUCUCUCUCGUUCUCAUCUUGUUCUCUUCUAUCAUGUCUGAAAAUUCGAAUGUUUUGUUGAUUUCAGAGAUUUAAAAUCCCAAGUGGCUAACCAAUUUAUUUCUCGCCUUAGGGUUUUGAGGUUUACAUAUGAAAGUUUUUUUUAUGUCUGUUCUCUAGUCUCCAAAAACUCUUAAGAGCAGCAGCACAAAGAAGAAGAAACGCCCUAAACUUCUCAUUUCCUUGUAAAUAUAAUGAAGCGUAUCGCUUGAUUUCAACCCUAUGUUUGAUUUUUGUUUCUUGGUUUGGUUGAAUCUGAUCUUAUAUGAAAUCCAUAAAUUUCUAGGGUUUUGAUUUGAGAAUAAGGUACGUCUGGGAUGCAUGUAUAUCUUUCUAGGGUUUGAUUGUAUCUGAUUGUAUAUUUGGAUUAAUUGGGUAAUAAUCUAUGACUCAAUCUUCUUCAUCAUCUUUAAUUUAAGAAAUUUAAAUUUUAACAAUAGGGUUAGGGUAAAUUUUCAAGCUCUUGAUUUUCUUAUUAAAAGUUUCAAUUGAAUUAUUGUUUUUAUUGAUUAGGUUUGCGGUUCACUUGAACUGGUACCUAUUGUGAUUCCUGAUGAUGAUGGUGUAGUGGUGGUGUUGAUGAAGUAGAAGAUGACUCAGUUUGCUAAUAAGAUUGCUCAUCACGUUGCUUGUCUGUUUUGUGAGCUGGGUUAUUCUUAGGUGCCAUUACUGGAGCUUUAAUAAGAAAGAAACUGAGAAUACUUUAAUCUCUACCAAGUUGUUUGCUGCCAAUUAGAAGGGAUAUUUGAUAUGGACCACUGGCACCAUGGAUAUGUGUUGUGAUUGCUAAGGACUUGGAUGGAUUUACCCUUGUGAUAUUUGGAGUAUUGGUUGUAUGAAUCUUAAUUGAGCUGUGCUCGGGAGAGACAUUGUGUAAGACGCAUGAGAAGUUAGAGCACCUGGCCAUAAUAGAGAGGAUAUUGGGGUCAAUACCAAGUCACAUGUUGAAGAAAGUUGGAUAUCAUGCAGAGAAAUACAUAAGAAAGGGAAGAUUGAAUUGGCCAGAGGGUGCGACAUCCAGGGAAAGCAUUAGAGUUGUUUCAAAGUUACCAUGUUUGCCGGUAUGUGUGCAGAAUUGUUGUGUUCAGGGAAGAUUCUUUUGAAAGGAGACAAGAUAACAUUGAUGCAGAAUACGGGUAAAUGAUGAUUUUGGCCUAGUGAUGAUAUAUAACCUGAGUAGCAGAGUUGAAUCUUGCAUAUUAUACUGUCUGACAAUGCUAGUGCAACAAUCGAAUUUCCUGCAUUUGGAUAAUUAUCUUUGUAUUCUGGAUUAUCAUUUCAUUCAUGCAAUGGGUCGAGCUGAAGAUGACAGAAAAAGGGAAUAGGCUAAUGUCUGGGAAUGAAUCGGCAUAAGAUGAAUAUUACCUCGCAGCUUUCACAGUAUGUCUCAACUAGUGCAGUGGGAGUUUGAAAUUUUUGGCGAUGUGAUGAGUGUGGAUGCAGAUUUGACUUGUGCAUUCCCCAGAUCCUUCAACUUCUGAUAAGAGAAUGGAAAUUGGAUUCGGUAACAAGAAGUCAAUACCUGGAACACCACCGAAGAAGAUCAGUUGUGGAAGAGAAGGAUGAGCGUGGAGCUGAAGUCUUUGGUGGACCAAGUUCAGAGCUGAAGUCGGCAUGUAAUUCUGCACUAAUGAAACUCGUAGAUGGACAGACUAAAAUUGUAAGAGAAGGGGAUAAUGGUGUUGCUUACUCUUGGAACUCUAGAGAUCAGAUAUGGGACAAAGUAUAUAUAUGUUUUUUGUAUAUAUAUAUGCCUUGUUUUCUAAUUAAUCUUCAACCUUCUUUUCACACAGUAUUUGAUGUUGACAUUGGAGAUGGUGAGCCCAUUCAUAAGUUGCCUUACAAUAGAUUAGGCAAUCUUUGUUAUUUUGGAAGAUUCUUUUGAAAGGAGACAACAUAACAUUGAUGCAGAAUGCGUAAGCAAACUGAAUCUCUCCCUCCACCCUCACUCAGUGUAGAUGCAGAAUUGACUUGUGUAUUCCCCAAAUCCUUCGACUUCUGAUAAGAGAAUGAAAAUUGGGUUCAGUAACAAGAAGUCAAUACCUGGAACACCACCAAAGAAGGUGCUCCUUGAUAUAUGGCUUCGUAUCUGCAAACGCCAGCGUAGAGAACAAGAGUUGGUGCUCCUUGGGUAACUUGAAGAAACUCCAAGAUCUUAAAACCCAGAGAAGAAGAAGAAGAAAAAUUCUUAGGGAAAGACGUGGGAACCAAUCUGUUUGACGUUCGCAGCAACAGCAGGAAUAAUAUUGGGAAAGUUUUGCAGAAUAAAGGAACUGUUUUCUUCCUCUUUCAUUGAAGCUCAGGGUAUCUUCUUUUAUAAUUUCUUGACAUGGAUUUGUGAUUUAUAAUAACAAGUUCCUGUUGAAUUUAUGUUUUAUCAUAAGAACUAGUAUGUAACCCGUGCUACGCACCGGGACCAGUGGAAAUUUUCGAUUCGGUGUAGCGGGGCUACGCCACGGGCCGGUUUUCCAGACGUAUUACAACUUCUUCAAAAAUUCUUGCUUAGUCUGAUUAUUUUUAAUAAAUAAGAUCAAGCUAUGCUAUACAGUUAAAAUAUUAAAGUAUAUUUACUUUGUAUACC